UAAUCCCGUCUUUGACACGGACUGCCUGUACAUUAUGGUGUGCUCUCGAAGAGUCGAGUUGUUUGGGAAUGCAGCUCAAAAUGGGUGGUAAAUGCCAUCUAAAGCUAAAUAUUGGCGAGAGACCGAUAGCGAACAAGUACCGUGAGGGAAAGAUGAAAAGAACUUUGGAAAGAGAGUUAAACAGUACGUGAAAUUGCUGAAAGGGAAACGCUUGAAGUCAGUCGCGUUGGCUAGAAAUCAACCUUGCUUUUGCUUUGUGUACUUUCUGGUUGACGGGUCAGCAUCAAUUUUGACCACUGGAUAAAGUCUUUGGGAAUGUGGCAUCUUCGGAUGUGUUAUAGCCCAUUGUCGCAUACGGUGGUUGGGAUUGAGGAACUCAGCACGCCGCAAGGCCGGGUUUCGACCACGUUCGUGCUUAGGAUGCUGGCAUAAUGGCUUUAAUCGACCCGUCUUGAAACACGGACCAAGGAGUCUAACAUGCCUGCGAGUGUUUGGGUGGAAAAACCCAUGCGCGCAAUGAAAGUGAAAGUUGAGAUCCUCUUCAAAGGGGGAGCAUUGACGCCCGGACCAGACCUUUUGUGACGGAUCCGCGGUAGAGCAUGCAUGUUGGGACCCGAAAGAUGGUGAACUAUGCCUGAAUAGGGUGAAGCCAGAGGAAACUCUGGUGGAGGCUCGUAGCGAUUCUGACGUGCAAAUCGAUCGUCAAAUUUGGGUAUAGGGGCGAAAGACUAAUCGAACCAUCUAGUAGCUGGUUCCUGCC
rnacentral:rRNA from 1 species